rnacentral:rRNA from 1 species
UGAGGAAUAUUGGGCAAUGCCCGAAAGGGUGACCCAGCAACGCCGCGUGGAGGAUGAAGGUCGUAAGAUUGUAAACUCCUGUUAGAGGGGAAGAAUAACUAAGUUUGGAGCUUAGUAUGACUGUACCCUCAGAGAAAGCCCCGGCUAACUACGUGCCAGCAGCCGCGGUAAUACGUAGGGGGCAAGCGUUGUCCGGAUUUACUGGGUGUAAAGGGCGCGCAGGCGGAAUGGAAAGUCAGUGGUGAAAUCCUAUAGCUUAACUGUAGAACUGCCUUUGAUACUUUCAUUCUUGAGUUCGGGAGAGAGAGACGGAAUUCCAGGUGUAGUGGUGAAAUACGUAGAUAUCUGGAAGAACACCAGUUGCGAAGGCGGUCUCUUGGUCCGAUACUGACGCUGAGGCGCGAAAGCGUGGGGAGCAAACA